AGAAAAGGUUUGAUGAAAAAAUUCCUUUAGAGGGCUGGGAUUGAGUGUGGGUGUUUCAUUGAGUCCUUCCUCUAAGAUAAGGUCCACACAUUGGCUAAUGCAUGCAGGACCAAUGACAGACAACUACCUUGUGUUACAAAGUCCACGUACACGCUAUCAUUCUACAGAGAACCACUACUCUAGACUCCAUUAUUGUGGGUACUUGAGGAAAGACUAACUCAUAAAAGUGGAUCAAUGUGACUGAACACCCAAUCCAAAAAAAUGCAGAGGAUGAUGUCCAGCAGCGCGUAUCACUGUCAUUUGACAGCUGUCUACAUGUUUUCCAGCAGUGAAAAGGCGCCUAUUUCGCUCAGCAACUGAGGUAUCUCUCUCCUCGUCCGAAAAGUAUUGUAGCGGUCUACGCUUUACAACAAUUCACUGACGUUUGGGAAAACCAAAAAGGUAGUAUAAAGUUCGAUUUCUAAAAAAAAUGUUACUGGUUUAUUUGAACCAGGUUCUGACUCAGGUCAUCAUGAUAGAAGUAGCUUCCAUAAGUAGCACUUCAAGGUUGCAGAGUUUAGUGGAAUUUCAUUAAGUUUCUCAUAUAUAAAGUAAAGCAUCAAAUAGCAGGAUGUUAAAAGGCGCGCAAAAUUAUUCGCGGGAUAGCAGCGCGCAUCCUCAAUAUAUGCCCACGUGUUUCUACCACGCCCCUCCACAAAAACACCCUCGAGCUACAUGUCAUAACAUGUCAUACAUGUUUUUACUAUGUUUUCAAAACUGCCCCGCCUUUUAUUUUAACCUGAAAACCAUCCAGUAAUUUUUCACGCACAAAUGAUUUAGUUCAUGUUCGACUCCCGUGAAUUCACCAAAAAAUAGUUUAUCACAGGAUUUACAGUGAGGAUACUCGAAGCCUKAACACUUCGAGUUUUUUUCAGGUUUAGUAUUAUUUCCUGAAAUUUCUACUGUUUCAAUCACUCUGUUAAGUAUUAAGUUCAAAUACACCAAAAGAUCAAAAUUAAUCUUAUUUCCAUAUGAUUGGCUCAAGGGAUGAUUAGCAGUAUGCAUUUUACAAAAUUUUCUUCACUGUCAAGAUACGCAUUUCGUAAUUCUUUAUAAAUACAUCUAGAAGUAACCUCUAGUACGUUUACACGAUGUUCGCAGUCUUGUUCCAGUUAGCCCAUGUGUUGAAGUCCCAGCUGGGCAAGGAAUGCAACGAAUCUGUCCCUCCUUCUCCUGAUAAUGAUUGACAGGACAUGAAACACAAGAAUAAGGCGUCGAUGAAGAAAAGAAAUGCCCAGGUGGACAGGAAGCUGAAGGAGAGACAAUGCAGAUAUGAGAAGACCUUCAAUAUAUUCUGGGAAACUCAGUCGCAUCACUAGCGUAGCGGGGGCAAGGGUGUGGCAAGGGGGCAUGUUCCCCUUCCCCCAAAGUUUGCUUUCGUCACCAAAAUUUAAUUUACACAUGCGGGAUUCAUGUGGAUUUGGCGGUAAAAAGGUACAUUGCCCCCCCCCUCCCCCUAUAAUUGAGACCUCGCUACGCCCUGAGUCGCGCAUCAUAUAUAAUGCUAGGUGUAAAAAAUUAAAAAAAAUAACUGUGCACGGUAGGAUAGCGCUGCACAACUUUGCCCAGGCGUAAGAAUCGUUAUGGAGAAUGGUGAAGGCUCCAUAAAAGAAUAAAACGGCCAACACUCUUGRUCCAAUUUAUUUCUAGUUGAAAAAAAGUUUAAUCCAUGGCAAUUAAAAUUCAUCUUACCCUUA